rnacentral:rRNA from 1 species
GGAAUCUUCCACAAUGGGCGCAAGCCUGAUGGAGCAACGCCGCGUGAGUGAAGAAGAUCUUCGGAUCGUAAAACUCUGUUGUUAGAGAAGAACACGAGUGAGAGUAACUGUUCAUUCGAUGACGGUAUCUAACCAGCAAGUCACGGCUAACUACGUACCAG